rnacentral:tRNA from 1 species
ACUUAAAUAAUUUAAAAAAAAUAUUGAUUUGUGGGAUCAAAAAUGUAAGUAGUAGAUUUACUUUAAGUU